rnacentral:tRNA from 1 species
AAAAGUAUAGCUUAUUUUAGUUAAGUGUUUCAUUUACAAUGAAAUGAAAUUUGUGCAAAUCAAUUUGCUUUUA